rnacentral:rRNA from 1 species
UAGGGAAUCUUCCGCAAUGGACGAAAGUCUGACGGAGCAACGCCGCGUGAACGAGGAAGGUCUUCGGAUCGUAAAGUUCUGUUGUUAGGGAAGAACAAGUACCGCUUAAAUAAGGCGGUACCUUGACGGUACCUAACGAGAAAGCCACGGCUAACUACGUGCCAGCAGCCGCGGUAAUACGUAGGUGGCAAGCGUUAUCCGGAAUUAUUGGGCGUAAAGCGCGCGCAGGUGGUUUCUUAAGUCUGAUGUGAAAGCCCCCGGCUCAACCGGGGAGGGUCAUUGGAAACUGGGAGACUUGAGUGCAGGAGAGGAAAGUGGAAUUCCACGUGUAGCGGUGAAAUGCGUAGAGAUGUGGAGGAACACCAGUGGCGAAGGCGACUUUCUGGCCUGCAACUGACACUGAGGCGCGAAAGCGUGGGGAGCAAACA